GACGAACGCUGGCGGCGUGCUUAACACAUGCAAGUCGAGCGGUAAGGCUCCUUCGGGAGUACACGAGCGGCGAACGGGUGAGUAACACGUGAGCAAUCUGCCCUGCUCAUCGGAAUAAGCGUGGGAAACCGCGUCUAAUGCCGAAUACGACCUCCUUUCGCAUGAUCGGAGGUGGAAAGCUCCGGCGGAGAAGGAUGAGCUCGCGGCCUACCAGCUAGUUGGUGAGGUAACGGCCCACCAAGGCGACGACGGGUAGCCGGCCUGAGAGGGUGACCGGCCACACUGGGACUGAGACACGGCCCAGACUCCUACGGGAGGCAGCAGUGGGGAAUAUUGGACAAUGGGCGAAAGCCUGAUCCAGCAACGCCGCGUGAGGGAUGACGGCCUUCGGGUUGUAAACCUCUUUCAGCAGGGACGAAGCGAAAGUGACGGUACCUGCAGAAGAAGGACCGGCCAACUACGUGCCAGCAGCCGCCGUAACAC
rnacentral:rRNA from 1 species